rnacentral:rRNA from 1 species
AUGCUCUAUGUCUGCUCUUGGCUUCGGUACCUUGAUCUCUCCUACAACGGCUUCCAUGGAUUCCUUCCUCAAGACAUCAGCCGGUUAUCACCAUCUACGAAGCACCUCAACCUAACUAACAACAACUUAAGUGCAGUUCUACUGAUGCCGGUGGCCGAGCUUUCGGCACUCCAGAACCUGCUUCUUGACAUGAGUGGCUUCACCGGCGAGAUUCUAGAGCCAUUCUCAAGCCUAAAGGAACUAACCAUGUUGGACCUAUGGGGCAACAAGCUCAGUGGUUCAAUCCCUGUCUGGAUCUGGGAGCACUAA